rnacentral:ncRNA from 1 species
AUAUUUUAACGGCAACAUUUAUUUUAGGAGGACGACACGCAUGCCAACAUUACAAGGAACAACUUACUAAGAUUUGGCACGCGGUCGACUCACGGACAAGUGGCAAAUCAACUUCACUUGUCCGAAUGUCUACUUAAACCUAGCAUUCGCUAGGUUUUUUUAUGCCUAUUCGGACACC